AGUCGAACGAUGACUCUGUGCUUGCACAGAUGAUUAGUGGCGAACGGGUGAGUAACACGUGAGUAACCUGCCCUUGACUCUGGGAUAAGCCUGGGAAACUGGGUCUAAUACUGGAUAUGCACCGUGGACCGCAUGGUUCUUGGUGGAAAGAUUUUAUUGGUCAAGGAUGGACUCGCGGCCUAUCAGCUUGUUGGUGAGGUAAUGGCUCACCAAGGCGACGACGGGUAGCCGGCCUGAGAGGGUGACCGGCCACACUGGGACUGAGACACGGCCCAGACUCCUACGGGAGGCAGCAGUGGGGAAUAUUGCACAAUGGGCGAAAGCCUGAUGCAGCGACGCCGCGUGAGGGAUGACGGCCUUCGGGUUGUAAACCUCUUUCAGUAGGGAAGAAGCGAAAGUGACGGUACCUGCAGAAGAAGCGCCGGCUAACUACGUGCCAGCAGCCGCGGUAAUACGUAGGGCGCAAGCGUUAUCCGGAAUUAUUGGGCGUAAAGAGCUCGUAGGCGGUUUGUCGCGUCUAUCGUGAAAGUCCGAGGCUCAACCUCGGAUCUGCGGUGGGUACGGGCAGACUAGAGUGAUGUAGGGGAGACUGGAAUUCCUGGUGUAGCGGUGAAAUGCGCAGAUAUCAGGAGGAACACCGAUGGCGAAGGCAGGUCUCUGGGCAUUAACUGACGCUGAGGAGCGAAAGCAUGGGGAGCGAACAGGAUUAGAUACCCUGGUAGUCCAUGCCGUAAACGUUGGGCACUAGGUGUGGGGGACAUUCCACGUUUUCCGCGCCGUAGCUAACGCAUUAAGUGCCCCGCCUGGGGAGUACGGCCGCAAGGCUAAAACUCAAAGGAAUUGACGGGGGCCCGCACAAGCGGCGGAGCAUGCGGAUUAAUUCGAUGCAACGCGAAGAACCUUACCAAGGCUUGACAUGUGCUAGAUCGCCAUAGAAAUAUGGUUUCCCCUUUUGGGGCUGGUUCACAGGUGGUGCAUGGUUGUCGUCAGCUCGUGUCGUGAGAUGUUGGGUUAAGUCCCGCAACGAGCGCAACCCUCGUUCUAUGUUGCCAGCACGUGAUGGUGGGGACUCAUAGGAGACUGCCGGGGUCAACUCGGAGGAAGGUGGGGACGACGUCAAAUCAUCAUGCCCCUU
rnacentral:rRNA from 1 species